GCGUCUGAAGAGGAGCCUGCGGCGGAUUAGCUAGUUGGUAAGGUAAUGGCUUACCAAGGCUACGAUCCGUAACCGGCCUGAGAGGGCGGUCGGUCACACUGACACUGACAUACGGGUCAG
rnacentral:rRNA from 1 species